GGGAGAUUCUGUUGGAUGGUGUUGAGAUAAAGACGCUUCAGUUAAAGUUCUUGCGUGAACAGAUCGGUCUUGUGAAUCAAGAACCUGCUCUCUUCGCCACAACCAUUCUUGAGAAUAUACUCUACGGGAAACCUAAUGCAACAAUAGAUGAAGUUGAAGCUGCUGCGUCUGCUGCCAACGCGCAUAGCUUCAUCACGUUGCUUCCUAAAGGCUACGACACACAGGUUGGAGAGCGUGGCGUUCAACUCUCAGGUGGACAGAAGCAAAGAAUCGCAAUCGCUCGGGCGAUGUUAAAAGACCCCAAGAUUCUGUUACUAGACGAAGCAACGAGCGCUCUUGACGCUAGCUCCGAGAGCAUAGUUCAAGAGGCUUUAGACAGAGUCAUGGUCGGGAGAACCACAGUGGUCGUCGCUCAUCGUCUAUGCACCAUACGUAACGUUGACUCCAUCGCGGUGAUACAGCAAGGACAAGUUGUUGAGACCGGAACACACGAAGAGCUCAUAGCUAAGUCAGGUGCUUACGCAUCGCUCAUUAGGUUUCAAGAGAUGGUUGGUACUCGUGACUUCUCUAACCCGUCAACACGUCGCACUCGUUCCACACGUUUGAGCCAUUCCUUGUCGACCAAGUCACUGAGCUUAAGGUCAGGGAGUUUGAGGAAUUUGAGUUACUCUUACAGCACUGGAGCUGAUGGUCGGAUAGAGAUGAUAUCAAACGCAGAGAGUGAUAGAAAGACUCGUCCCCCUCAAAACUACUUUUAUAGGCUUCUCAAGCUUAAUGCACCUGAAUGGCCUUACUCAAUCAUGGGAGCUGUUGGCUCGGUUCUGUCUGGUUUUAUCGGUCCAACCUUUGCUAUUGUGAUGAGUAAUAUGAUUGAAGUGUUCUACUACACUGACUAUGUUUCAAUGGAGAGGAAGACAAAAGAGUAUGUGUUCAUCUACAUUGGUGCUGGUAUCUAUGCUGUGAUAGCUUACUUGAUCCAGCAUUACUUCUUUAGCAUCAUGGGGGAGAAUCUCACAACAAGAGUAAGAAGAAUGAUGCUCUCAGGUAUGUAACAAAAUCUUGAAACAUUUUUUUUAUUGUUGCAUUUCUGAAUUUUUUUAUUUUUUUAUAGUUUCAUUUUUUAUUUUUUUUGUUUGUUUUUUUUAUUAGCAAUCUUGAGGAAUGAGGUUGGUUGGUUUGAUGAGGAUGAACACAACUCGAGUUUGGUUGCUGCAAGGUUAGCCACUGAUGCAGCUGAUGUUAAAUCAGCAAUAGCAGAGAGGAUCUCAGUGAUUCUGCAGAACAUGACUUCACUUCUCACAUCUUUCAUAGUUGCUUUCAUCAUUGAGUGGAGAGUCUCACUUCUCAUCUUAUGCACAUUCCCACUUCUAGUCCUUGCUAACUUUGCUCAGGUAACAAAAUUCUCAAUUCUUUGUUUUGCAACUAUAUGCACAUUAAAACAAUCUUUAAGGGUUAAGGUCUUAUUGAGUCUGCACAUAAAACUUGAUUAAGUAAAAGCCAAUAAAAGAGUAACUAACUUUUAUGUUUUCUAAACUAUUGUUUAUUUUAUAUCCAAAAGUUCAAAACUUUAUAGAACAUGUCAACACAUUCACUGCCUUCUGUAGUUGCAUUUCCUUUUCCGAUAAUAAUAAUCAUAAAAGAGUAUUCAGUCUUUUUUUUUCUCUUUUUUUUUUAGAAUAGUGUGUGACUGAUUGUGAGGGUGCAAGAUGAUGGAGCCCUCACAUCAAUAAAGUAGACUUUUACAUCUGUGAAGAGUAUUUAUUAUAUAGUUUCUAUUGGUAGUACGGCACAUAGAUAACAGUGUUCAUGAAAAUAGCUAAGAUUCAUCUGUCUUUUUAUGUAUCUAUCUUCUUGCUUUACUUCUGCAAAAUAUUUCCUGCUUUAAGCUUUCAUAGUUACUUCUCUGAACUCUGAUCCCACUCUCUUAUUAUUUAAUAAUUUUCCCCAUAAACCCAUUUCUCAUAUUCACAUAAAAUCCAAAAACCUUGCAACUUUUCUUUUCACACCAAGAACCAAUUAUUAUUAGGCACUGUGAAAGAAGGGCAGUGAUUUAUUCAAAAACCACUGUUGUUUUCUUCAUUGGUCAAACUGCUUGUCUCAGUUUUUAUUUACUUAUUCAAGUUGUGUGUGUGUCAGAGUGUCAGUGUUAAACAAUCAACCAAUGGUCCCAAUGAUAGUAUUAGAUGAUAUAAAAUAUUUAUAUCAAUAAAAUAACAUAAAAAUAAAAGCCAUCAAGUGCGUUAUUGGUUGGACCGCUGGUCAUGGCCUGCUUUGAUAAUUCAAGUGCGUUAUUUGUUUUAACACGAACAAACAAAAAACAGUUUUUGACAAGUGCGUUAUUUUCAGAAAAACGCUUUUGAUUUAUGUUUUGUGUUGAUUGGUGACAUCUGCGGUUUUUCUGUCCCAUCAUAACAAAUACGCACCGCGAAGGUGUUCCCAUUCAUAACCUACAGUUCCCAGUCCACGAGCACAUACGAAUAUCUCUCUAUGUUUAUUUCGUCUUUGACCACUGGUCUUCUUUAACACUUCGUCUCUCUCUCUCCUCUCUUCAUUAUAUACACACAUCACAUCUUCUCCACACUCUCAUUCUCUCUCCAUUUCUUUCUUUUAUUUCGUCACUCCAAAACAAAACACUCAUAAAGAGUUCUCGAACUCACAAAUCAAUUGUCAGUUUUUUUUUAAAUACAAAACGUUAUUAUUCCUUUUCUUUAUCUCUCUGCUCUGGAUCUCUCCUCCAUUGCCAAUGAUCUCGUCCUCUCUCUGAGCCAACUCGUGUCUGACUCGCUUCUCCUUCCUUAAUCUCACGCCGCAAAAAUGUCAGAGACAACGGCAGAUGCAAAGCCGGUUCCUCCGGCUGAAGCCGAGAAGAAGAAAGAACAGAGCUUACCCUUCUUCAAGCUCUUCUCAUUCGCUGAUAAAUUCGAUCAUCUGUUAAUGAUCACUGGCUCAAUAGGCGCCAUUAUUCACGGCUCGUCCAUGCCUGUCUUCUUCUUGCUUUUCGGUGAAAUGGUUAAUGGAUUCGGCAAGAACCAGAUGGAUUUACACCAGAUGACACAUGAAGUCUCCAGAGUAAAAAUCAAAUCCUCUCAUUUCUCUCGUUUUAUUUUAUGUUUUAUUAAAAAUUAUAUUCAAGAUCUGAUCUGUUGUGUUCUGUCUUAAAAUAUGCAGUAUGCUCUGUACUUUGUCUACUUGGGUCUGGUUGUCUGCGUCUCUUCAUACGCAGGUUUGCCUCAAAUUUAAAAUCCAUACUUUAUAAUCAGUACCUCUAAUCCAUCUUUUUUUACCAAUACCUCUAAUCCAUUUCUAUAUUUGUAAUUUUAAAUAGAAAUUUUGCUCUAAUACAUGUUUCUACAAUAGAGCCUAAUUAUUUUAUGUGAAGGGAAAAUAUAUAGUUAGGUUAUAACAUCUCUAAUUGUUAGGUUUCUAAAACAAAAAUAUUAUAAUUAUUUAUUUAUGUUUUAUUUUUAUUUUAAAUUAGUUAAUUAUCUAUUUGAAUGAUAAUGUGUUUUUUUAGGGGAGAUUUUAUGAAAUAACCAAAAAAAUAAACAAAAUAGAUUUCUAGAGUGAGAAUAGAGAGAGAUAGGAAGAGAAAAGACCAUUUUGAUUACUUAUCUAAUUUAGGCAUUUUGUUUGGCUAUAGGGUGCAAUUUCUCUUUUUAGUAUCCUAAAGUUUUAAAAAACUCAUAACUAAAAUUUUUUGUUCAUUAUCUCUCUUAAUUUCAUUUUUUUAUAAUAAUGCUAAGAAUUCUUCUUAAUACUACUAUUGGAAGUGCUUUUAGAAGAAAUCCUAAACCGAAACAGAAAUUAUAUAAUAAUAUAAAAUAUCAUUUUUUUAAUUAAAUACAUUCAUUGAAUCAAAAUACUUCUCUAAAUUUUUUAUAGUAAAAUAUAUAUUUAAAUUGAGUUUAAAAUGUUCUAUGUAAACCCAGAAACAGAUAUCAUAUGAUAGGGUAAGAAAGAAAUUCAAUUUUUUUUUUGUAAUUGUAAAAAGUGGAAGGUAAGCUGAGUCCACGUGACUACUUGAGUCAUGGACUCAUUCUUUGUCUAUAUCGAUUAUGCCGUCAUCAAAAUGGAAUCUCUUUCACAUUUAUAACGCUUUGAAAAAACAAUCUUUUUAUUAUUAUUAUGAAAUACAGAGAUUGCAUGUUGGAUGUACUCUGGAGAAAGACAAGUAGCUGCGUUAAGGAAGAAGUAUCUUGAAGCUGUCUUGAAACAAGACGUUGGAUUCUUCGACACCGAUGCAAGAACUGGCGACAUUGUCUUCAGUGUCUCCACCGAUACUCUUCUCGUCCAAGACGCCAUCAGCGAGAAGGUAACAACAACAAAAUCUUUGUCCCUUUUACGUUAGCAAACCGUCAGUUAUCGUGCACCCCAGGUGGGUGCACGUUAGCAAGCAUGAGUUAACGUGCGCUUGAUACUAUCACCCUGUGUUUUUUUACAGGUUGGGAACUUCAUACAUUACUUGUCAACGUUUUUGGCGGGGCUUGUGGUUGGGUUUGUGUCAGCAUGGAGGUUAGCUUUGUUGAGUGUGGCGGUGAUUCCCGGAAUCGCAUUCGCCGGCGGGUUAUACGCUUACACUCUCACCGGCAUCACUUCAAAGAGCCGUGAGUCUUACGCAAACGCCGGUGUUAUAGCCGAGCAGGUGAAAAAAAUCUUUUCUUAAUAAUGCUUUACACUGUUCUUAGACUUGCUCGUUGUACUUGAUCCCUCUAAUGAUUAUGUUUCUCUUCCUUCUCAUUCAAUCCAACAAGGACUUAAACAGUGGUUUCAUGUAAUAAUUGACCUUUAACUUAAAAAUUUUGGAAAAUCUUUUAGACAAAAAAGUUUUUAUAACAAAAUAGCACAUAAAGAGAAAAAUCUCUAAAAUAACACUAUUUAAGAGACAAAAUGACUAAAUUACUUUAAACCCUAAACCCUAAACUCUUACACUAACCUCAUUCUCUAAAUAUUAAAACCUAAACAUUAAUCGCUAAAAUUAAACUUAAAUAAUUUUAUUUUAAGCUUUUAAUUAAUCUAUUUUGAAAGAAGAAAAGCUUGUGUGGUAUAAUUUGAACAAAAAUGUAUUUUAGUGCUAUUAUAGAGUACCUCUCUAAUUUUUUUUUGUUCUUGUGAAUUUACAGGCAAUUGCUCAGGUUCGAACUGUUUACUCUUAUGUUGGAGAGAGCAAGGCUCUUAGCUCGUACUCAGAGGCGAUUCAGUACACUCUUAAGCUUGGUUAUAAAGCUGGGAUGGCUAAAGGAUUAGGUUUAGGAUGUACUUAUGGAAUAGCUUGCAUGUCAUGGGCUCUAGUGUUCUGGUACGCUGGUGUUUUCAUCAGGAGUGGAACAACAGAUGGAGGAAAAGCAUUCACUGCUAUCUUCUCAGCCAUUGUUGGUGGAAUGUAAGGAAACAGAACAUCAAACUGAUGCCCUUUUUUUUGUUAUAGACUUUUAACAUGUGACUAUGUUGUUUCUAGGAGCUUGGGACAAUCUUUCUCAAAUCUUGGAGCGUUUAGUAAAGGCAAAGCUGCUGGUUACAAGCUGAUGGAGAUAAUUAACCAGAGACCAACUAUAGUACAAGACCCCUUGGAUGGGAAGUGCUUGGAGCAAGUUCAAGGAAACAUUGAGUUUAAAGAUGUGACGUUUAGCUAUCCUUCGCGUCCUGAUGUUAUCAUCUUCAGAAACUUCUCUAUCUUCUUCCCUUCUGGGAAGACCGUAGCUGUGGUUGGUGGUAGUGGCUCUGGGAAGAGUACUGUUGUUUCCCUUAUAGAGAGAUUCUACGACCCAAACAACGGUAACUUGAGUAACAAGCAACUCUUUUUAUCUAGGUUUUUGGCUAGUGUAUGGAUCUUGAUAACUUUUUUUUAAUGAGCAGGGGAGAUUCUGUUGGAUGGUGUUGAGAUAAAGACGCUUCAGUUAAAGUUCUUGCGUGAACAGAUCGGUCUUGUGAAUCAAGAACCUGCUCUCUUCGCCACAACCAUUCUUGAGAAUAUACUCUACGGGAAACCUAAUGCAACAAUAGAUGAAGUUGAAGCUGCUGCGUCUGCUGCCAACGCGCAUAGCUUCAUCACGUUGCUUCCUAAAGGCUACGACACACAGGUUGGAGAGCGUGGCGUUCAACUCUCA
rnacentral:lncRNA from 1 species